AUUGAACGCUGGCGGCAGGCUUAACACAUGCAAGUCGAGCGAGCGGCGGACGGGUGAGUAAUGUCUGGGAAACUGCCUGAUGGAGGGGGAGAACUACUGGAAACGGUAGCUAAUACCGCAUACCAUCAGAUGUGCCCCGAUGGGAUUAGCUAGUAGGUGGGGUAAGGGCUCACCUAGGCGCAGAUCCCUAGCUGGACUGAGAGGAUGAACAUCCACACUGGAACUGGGACACGGUCCAGACUCCUACGUGAGGCAUCAUUGGGGAAUAUUGCACAAUGGUCGCAAGCCUGAUGCAGCCAUUCCGCGUGUGUGAAGAAGGCCUUCGGGUUGUAAAGCACUUUCAGCGAGGAGGCGUUACUCGCAGAAGAAGCAACGGCUAACUCCGUGCCAGCAGCCGCGGUAAUAC
rnacentral:rRNA from 1 species